CUGAAGUCUUGAGGCCAAAUAUUUAUAAUUCAUGACCUUUAAUAGUUUAUCAUUUUUCUUCUUCACAAAGUAAUUUUUAAGUAUCUUGAAAUAAAAGUCAAUUUAUUACCAUAUGGAGAUUAAAGUCAACAGGAAAAUGAGUUUGACCAUCACAUAGAGAAAAGAGGCAGGCCUUGGGUCCCCAGUGACUUCACCUAGAGGGUCACACUUCUCCACUUGCAUUUAGGUGACCUGAAAUACAAUACCACUUCGGAGACCACGAUCCAUCAAUGAGGUAAAUCUCUCCAUAGAAGGAUCUCUUCUUUGUUUAGGAUGUUUGUAGGAGCAAGAUAAAGAAAUAUGGAGAUGAAGCAAGGUGAGCCGGUGACAGUGACUAAGUGUGUAUCAGAGCCCAAGUUCCUGAUAGCAACCCAAAGAAAGGGGAAGGAAGUAAAUAAAAUUAGAUAGAACUCAUAUCCCAAUAACAGGGAAAACCCUCAUCUUUCAAAGAGAUUAGGUUUCCUUCUGGCAUUUAUCAUAAGAGUAAAUGUACUGAAACCAAAAAAUGGGCAGUACCUUCAAUAACCGUCUACACAAGGUGCUUCCGUAUGGACGUUUAUCAUAUAAAUAGACUAUUAAAAUGCAGCAUUCAAUUGUGGUUGAAUGCAGACAUGUAGCAGGGGAAGGUACCGCAUACAGGUGCAUUUUACUGGUAUAGUCACUGUUGUGCUUAGCUUAUGAAGCCAUCAGGACGGCAGUACCCUCUCAUGCCGUAAGAAUGGGUGAACCAACUGAUAAACCUCGAGGGCUCGCCUUCCACAAACUGUGAGUGGGGCAUAAGAGAUCACUGGUAUGCCCAGACCUCAAUCUGCCUCUCCUCUGUUGGCAGGUGUUUGCCGAGCAUUGCCAAUGAAUCUCCUUCAAGCAGCGGUUGGAGAUGUUCGCCAACUCCCAAAUCGAGCUGGAAUAUCCUUCUGCAAUCUCCCUUCUCUGGCUACUUUGCAAACACUAGGAGCAGAGACCGUGCCUGGGUGCAGACAUGACAGUCCACAGCACAGAGGCAACAGAGACAGGAGGAUUGCUAACACAGGCAAACCGCAGUCACUGAUUUAUUUAUUUGUAGAUGGUGUUUCCUACAGUCUGAUAAGGAGGCAUUUCUCAGAAAGAGCUUAGGGCCAAGGUGCCACAAUGAGUCCUCAGUGGCUGAGACAGAUAUAUCCAUCACUGUCAUACAACAUGGAACACAAUCUAGUAGUGGCCUGUGAAAACACAUGCAGGAUCGUUGUGUGUAGUGUCCUGCGCCGUCCAUCCAUUCCCCAACUCUCUCCCCCUCCCGAGCUUACCUAAGUGAAAGGGAUUCUAAAGAUCUUUAGGAAAGAACACCAGAAAAGCUCUGGGCCUUUGGUUUCCGAAUGAUUACAUAAUAACAACAACAACAACAACAAUAAUUAUAGGCCUGUAUCUUUCACAGGACUAUGAUAUAGGCAAAAAAGAAAAAAAAAGAUGACACUUCUGCACACACAUUUUCAGUGUUUGGUGCAGAAUCAGGCACUCAGCAAGCUCCCUGUGUUAGGAAACUAUUUUGCUUAUCCUCAGCUUUGCCAUUGGCUGUCAUGUUCCAUUAGCUAGAAAGCGCUCAGCUCUUCUGUGUGUUUGGAUCUGAAGUUUUUUCAGUCUAGGGAAUCUGUACUUACAGGGUCUAUAACCACCAGCCAACAGCCACCAUCCUCACGUGUGCCAUAUUUCACUUAGACUUGAGUAAGAGAGCACAGGAGGUUAAGUGUUGGUGUGGAUUCCCCCACCACCCACCUCAAGGCUGACGGCUGUUGUCAUGAACUGCUGCAGCCAGGAGUUUCUGACCUUCUGAAUGCUUUCUAAAUAAGGGGUCUGCUAUGGUUGGGAAAUCCUUUUCAGAGCCUAUGUUGAGCUCUGACUGCCAGAUCAUGUUACCGGAAGGAAUAAUUUUAGAGGUAUCUAGGUCCCAAGAGCUCACUGUGGGAACGGCGGUGUCUCUGUCUCACAUUUGACAUUGCACAGGUAUGACAUUGCACAAGUAUGACCCAGCAGGAAGGCCCUUGCCCUCAGCAACUCUAGAACCAGGAGCAGAAUAACCUCUAAUUGUUUGUGAUUGUGUUGGGUGUGUGUCUGUCUGUCUGUCUUGUUUUGUCUGUCU
ensembl:lncRNA